rnacentral:tRNA from 1 species
GCGGUCGUAGCUCAGUUGGUAGAGUCCCGGAUUGUGAUUCCGGUUGUCGCGGGUUCAAACCCCGUCGAUCGCCCCA